rnacentral:tRNA from 1 species
GCGAGAUUAGUCUAAAUAAGACAGCUGAUUUCGACUCAGCAAAUUAUGUUUAACCCAUAGUCCCCCA